AUUGAACGCUGGCGGCAUGCCUUACACAUGCAAGUCGAACGGUAACAGGCCGCAAGGUGCUGACGAGUGGCGAACGGGUGAGUAAUGCAUCGGAACGUGCCCAGUCGUGGGGGAUAACUGCUCGAAAGAGCAGCUAAUACCGCAUACGACCUGAGGGUGAAAGCGGGGGACCGUAAGGCCUCGCGCGAUUGGAGCCGCCGAUGUCAGAUUAGCUAGUUGGUGGGGUAAAGGCCUACCAAGGCAACGAUCUGGAGUUGGUCUGAGAGGACGACCAGCCACACUGGGACUGAGACACGGCCCAGACUCCUACGGGAGGCAGCAGUGGGGAAUUUUGGACAAUGGGCGCAAGCCUGAUCCAGCAAUGCCGCGUGCAGGAAGAAGGCCUUCGGGUUGUAAACUGCUUUUGUCAGGGAAGAAAUCUUCUGGGCUAAUACCCCGGGAGGAUGACGGUACCUGAAGAAUAAGCACCGGCUAACUACGUGCCAGCCGCCGCGGUAACAC
rnacentral:rRNA from 1 species